AAACAUCAUGCAUACAUGCCAAGAUCCCUCAAUAUAUAUUCAAAAUUGAGAGUAACCACUUCCCAAGUAGCAGAGCCAAUUACACCAAUGCCUCCCGGAACCCAAGCACCCCUACACAAUCAAAUCAAAAACAACCCUAAAAUUUACAAGAAACCUAUCCUAUGGAUCCCAGAUUAACAAUUUCAGGAAUAUCCAUAAACUUUGAUGCCCAAAGCAACGGAACCCUUAAAAGCAGACCUAAA
rnacentral:misc_RNA from 1 species